UAANNGCAGCCCGGGAGAACCCUGAUGACCUAGAAAGUUAGGCCUCGAGCGUAAGCUCGGUUGGAGGCACCUGCAGCUACCCUGUAAUUGCGGACUGCCAACUCCAGCCGCGGCCCGCCGGCGGUACACUAAACUCUGUUUUAUUUUAUAUUCUGAGCGUCUUAUUUUAAUAAGUUAAAACUUUCAACAACGGAUCUCUUGGUUCUGGCAUCGAUGAAGAACGCAGCGAAAUGCGAUAAGUAAUGUGAAUUGCAGAAUUCAGUGAAUCAUCGAAUCUUUGAACGCACAUUGCGCCCAUCAGUAUUCUGGUGGGCAUGCCUGUUCGAGCGUCAUUUCAACCCUUAAGCCUAGCUUAGUGUUGGGAAUCUGCUGUACUGCAGUUCCUUAAAGACAGUGGCGGAGCGGCGGUAGUCCUCUGAGCGUAGUAAUUUAUUUCUCGCUUUUGUCAGGCUCUGUCCUCCCGCCAUAAAACCCCCAAUUUUUUAGUGGUUGACCUCGGAUCAGGUAGGAAUACCCGCUGAACUUAAGCAUAUCAAUAAGCGGAGGAAAUGAUGGGCAAGACCCCCCCACAUAAUAGAAGAUGAAAUAAAACCAAGUGAGCAAAGACAAUCAAGGAAUCAAAGUACAACUUAUCCGGUUUAUACUGAGAGCACUGAUGAUUAACACCUCAAGUUCCAACCACAUUUUGGACAGCAAGAAUGUGUUUCUCCAUACAGGUCACGGGGAGCCAAUGGUUCAGAAACAAAUCGAGUGGGUUCUAAUCAUGGAAUUAAUCAAAAUGUACGCCAGUCUUUGUGUCAAGAAGAUGACUAUGAAGAUGAUAAGCCUACCAAUUAUAGUGCACGUUACUCUGAACAAGAUCAGCAUGAAGCACAAGAGAGACCAACAAAUUAUAGCAUAUAUAUACUGAAGAGAAACGUCAUGUGCAUCAACUAUUUAUUAUAGU
rnacentral:rRNA from 1 species